UCCCUUAUAGCUCAGUGGAUAAAGAAUCUGCCUGCAGUACAGGAGACCCAGGUUCGAUUCCUGGGUUGGGAA
rnacentral:tRNA from 1 species